rnacentral:rRNA from 1 species
UGGGGGAUAUUGCACAAUGGGCGAAAGCCUGAUGCAGCGACGCCGCGUGGGGGAUGAAGGCCUUCGGGUUGUAAACUUCUUUUGCUCUGAACAAGGCGCACCAUGGGGUGUGUUGAGUGUAGGGGUUGAUUAGCGCCGGCUAACUACGUGCCAGCAGCCGCGGUAAUACGUAGGGCGCGAGCGUUGUCCGGAAUUAUUGGGCGUAAAGGGCUUGUAGGUGGCUGGUUGCGUCUGUCGUGAAAGCUCAUGGCUUAACUGUGGGUUUGCGGUGGGGAAGGGCUGGCUUGAGUGCAGUAGGGGAGGCUGGAAUUCCUGGUGUAGCGGUGGAAUGCGCAGAUAUCAGGAGGACUACCGGUGGCGAGGGCGGGUCUCUGGGCUGUUACUGACACUGAGGAGCGAAAGCAUGGGGAGCGAACAGG